GGAAGAAGGAGAAAAAAAUGGAAGGGAAAAUGUAGUAAGAGCAAAAUCCAAAAAGCCUUAGAUGGACCCGAGGAAGGUGGGAUGAUGUUUCCCAGGUGCUUCUCAUCAUGAUCUUUUCCCCCACCCACCCUAUCAGGAGAUUCUUGAAUCCUCAUAGACUAAAGACUGGAAUCAUCCAGUGAUCUCUUAUCUUUCACCCUAGACUGGACACACACCAGACCCAGACUUUAACAUUGCUUUCUCCCUGUGAGCUCCAAUAUGUUAUCUGCUCCUUUUUUCUUCCCCUGUUGCGCAGAAUUGACCUCUUCAAGUUACAUAUUUAAGG
rnacentral:lncRNA from 1 species